AUACUUACCUGGGUCGUGUGUCUGGUGAUCAAUGAGUCUGGACGCACAGGGGAUCUGACUGUCAUUGCACUGCGAUGGUCGGAUUCUCUGCGAACACCUUCGGGUGUCUCGAGGCCGCAAUUUUUGCUUGAGGGAGGAGUAGCUUGCUACUACCUCCCU
rnacentral:snRNA from 1 species